rnacentral:rRNA from 1 species
CGCGAAUAGCUCAUUACAACAGCCAAAUUUUAAUUGAAGUUAAAGGUUUACUUGGAUAACUGUGGCAAUUCUAGAGCUAAUACAUGCAACAAAACUCUGACCGUAAGGGAGGAGUGCACUUAUUAGAACAAAACCAAUCGGGCUUCGGCUCGUAAGUUGAUGACUCUGAAUAAUUUUGCCGAUCGAACGGUCUUUGAACCGUCGACAAUUCAUACAAAUGUCUGCCUUAUCAACUUUCGAUGGUAGUAUAUGGGACUACCAUUGUGAUAACGGGUAACGGAGAAUUAGGGUUCGACUCCGGAGAGGGAGCCUGAGAAACGGCUACCACAUCCAAGGAAGGCAGCAGGCACGCAAAUUACCCACUCUCGGCAAGAGGAGGUAGUGACGAAAAAUAACGUGGCGGUUCUCUACGAGGCCCGUCAACGGAAUGAACACAAUUUAAAUCCUUUAAUGAGGAUCCAUUGGAGGGCAAGUCUGGUGCCAGCAGCCGCGGUAAUUCCAGCUCCAAUAGCGUAUAUUAAAGUUGUUGCGGUUAAAAAGCUCGUAGUUGGAUCUCCGGUCAUGCGAAGCGGUCGCCCAGUGGGUUGUUACUGCUCUCGCAGGCCAAAUUUUUCUAGCGUACCCUUGGUGCUCUUCACCGGGUGUCUUGGGUUGCUAGUGCGUUUACUUUGAAAAAAUUAGAGUGCUUAAAGCAGACGCUUGUUUGAAUAGUGGUGCAUGGAAUAAUGAAAUAGGACCUUGAGUCCAUUUUGUUGGUUUACAGUCUCGAGGUAAUGAUUAAGAGGGACAGACGGGGGCAUUUGUAUUGCGACGUUAGAGGUGAAAUUCUUGGAUCGUCGCAAG